ensembl:lncRNA
GAAAAUUCUGUCAUCAUUUACUUACUGUCAUUUCAUGACUUUCUUGUGGAACACAAAAGAAGAUAUUUUGAAAAAAUCUGUUUUCCCCCCAUACAAUUAAAGUAAAUUGUGUCCAAUCUUGUUUGCAUACCAGCAUUCUUCAAAAUACCUUCGUUUGUGUUCUGCUAAUUGCCUUGUGCAGAUUUUUAUUGUAUUUAUGAUUUAAACGGCAUUAGUCACCCAUGGGUCACUGAGCCAAAACUCACAGCAGGGAGGUUACUAUGAUCUCUCAGAACAGAUGUGCCUGCCUGUCACCAUGAUUACAGAUGUGGGGGGAGGGUUUGGGAGAAAGUGGAGCAGUGGAGAUGAUGGUGUUUUAAUACCGUACGACGUAGGGAUAGUUGGGCUGAAAUCUGCCAGCUUGGUUUUCUGGAGUGUUGUGUAACAUCAGGCUUCUCGCUCGGAAGACUACAGGAUAUCAGUUCAGUGGGUUUGUACUACACUUCCACUUGCACGUAGCAUCCUUAUGUUGAACGGAAAGGUCAGAUGUUGAGACCAGUCUUGUACCGGAUGACCAAAAUUAUAAAUAUGUUCCUUGUACAUUAUUAAUACUCAUUCAAAUUAUAUCACAUGUCAAAUUGGUUUGAGUAUUCUACAGCAGUGUGUUUUUGUACAGAUUUACCUCCCUACAAAGUAGAUGACUGGGAGUCAGCAAUCAUCACAAAGGACCCUGUGUUUAACUAUAGAAUGCUGAUCUCUGCCACUGAAGUAACUCUUAGUCCACGUCAUGAACAAGCAAAGCGUCUGUUAGAAAGAGCUCGAUUCAAAGCACAUUCUCAAAACCAUAAGAGUGAAACCCCCAACUGCCUUGGUCAAAGAGAGGGCCUGUAAGUCACCUCAAAACUUUCUAUUGCCAUAUUGUUGUUGCCUCACAUCAUGGUUGUCUUUUUAAAGUCAUCUACUACUUUUUUUAUUACUGUGAACAAACCAAAGCAAUCCCCUCUAAAGUCAUGACCCAUAUCCUGUGAUACACAGAAAUAUUCAUUUAAGCGAUUCAUGGAGAGUUGUGUUCCUGUGUUAUAUAAUCACAUAUACUGCAUAUAACACAUAUUUGGCAAGCAUUUUUAUUAAUCCUAUCACAUUAUCUUGGAACACAAAUAAAAGUUGAUGAUCAAAUAAAUCA